UUUUUUUAAAUCUUCCGUAAAUUGAUCCCAUUUUCCUUUUUCGUCUUG
rnacentral:antisense_RNA from 1 species